GAUGAACGCUAGCGGCAGGCCUAACACAUGCAAGUCGAGGGAGAAGCCCUUUCGGGGGCAGAAACCGGCGCACGGGUGCGUAACGCGUAUGCAACCUACCUUUCACAGGGGGAUAGCCCGAAGAAAUUUGGAUUAAUACCCCAUAAUAUUAUUGGAUGGCAUCAUUUGAUAAUUAAAACUGCGGUGGUGAAAGAUGGGCAUGCGUCCUAUUAGCUAGUUGGAGUGGUAACGGCACCCCAAGGCUACGAUAGGUAGGGGUCCUGAGAGGGAGAUCCCCCACACUGGCACUGAGACAGGGACCAGACUCCUACGGGAGGCAGCAGUGAGGAAUAUUGGUCAAUGGUCGGAAGACUGAACCAGCCAUGCCGCGUGCAGGAAGAAUGCCUUAUGGGUUGUAAACUGCUUUUAUAUGGGAAGAAUAAGGCGUACGUGUACGUUGAUGACGGUACCAUAUGAAUAAGCAUCGGCUAACUCCGUG
rnacentral:rRNA from 1 species